rnacentral:rRNA from 1 species
AGAUCUAGCUUGCUAGAUGCUGACGAGUGGCGCACGGGUGCGUAACGCGUAUACAAUCUACCUUUAACUGAGGGAUAGCCCAGAGAAAUUUGGAUUAAUACCUCAUAGUAUUAUAAUUAGGCAUCUUUUUAUAAUUAAAACUUCGGUGGUUAAAGAUGAGUAUGCGUACUAUUAGCUAGUUGGUAAGGUAAAAGCUUACCAAGGCAACGAUAGUUAGGGGGCCUGAAAGGGUGAUCCCCCACACUGGUACUGAGACACGGACCAGACUCCUACGGGAGGCAGCAGUGAGGAAUAUUGCACAAUGGAGGAAACUCUGAUGCAGCCAUGCCGCGUGCAGGAAGAAUGCCCUAUGGGUUGUAAACUGCUUUUAUACAAGAAGAAACCUCGGUACGUGUACCGACUUGACGGUAUUGUAUGAAUAAGCACCGGCUAACUCCGUGCCAGCAGCCGCGGUAAUACGGAGGGUGCAAGCGUUAUCCGGAUUUAUUAGGUUUAAAGGGUCCGCAGGCGGAAUAUUAAGUCAGUGGUGAAAGCCUACAGCUC